UACGUAGGGGGCAAGCGUUGUCCGGAAUCAUUGGGCGUAAAGAGCGUGUAGGCGGCUCGAUAAGUCCGCUGUGAAAGUCCAGGGCUCAACCCUGGAAGGCCGGUGGAAACUGUCGGGCUAGAGUCCGGAAGAGGCGAGUGGAAUUCCCGGUGUAGCGGUGAAAUGCGCAGAUAUCGGGAGGAACACCAAUGGCGAAGGCAGCUCGCUGGGACGGUACUGACGCUGACGACGCGAAAGCGUGGGGAGCAAACAGG
rnacentral:rRNA from 1 species